CUCCACCUUCCUCAGUGUAGAUCUCUCCACCACAUCCUCCACUGAGUCCAGCUUGAGUCCAACCACAGAGCCAGCCUUUUUCAUCAGUUUGGUCAGACGUCUUGCAUCUUUGUGUAUGAUGCUUCCUCCCCAGCAGACUGCAGCUUAGAACAGCACACUUGCCACCACAGACUGAUAAAACAUCUGCAGCUUCUUACUACAGAUGUCUAUUGAUCAGGGUCUUCUCAGGCAAAAGAGGCAGCUCUGCCCCUUUCUGUAGAUGAAGUCUAUAGUCUUAGACCAAUCCAACUUAUUAUCCAGAUGUACACCUAGGUAUUUAUAUGAUGUCAUCACUGCGAUGUCCACUCCACAGGUGUUCACUGGCUGAAGAAGGGGUUUGAAUCUACAGAAGUCUAUGACCAUCUCCUUUGUCUUUGAGGUGUUGAGGAGGAGGCAGUUUUUGUGACUCCAGUCACC